AUGAACGCUGGCGGCGUGCCUAAUACAUGCAAGUCGAGCGAACAGACGAGGAGCUUGCUCCUCUGACGUUAGCGGCGGACGGGUGAGUAACACGUGGAUAACCUACCUAUAAGACUGGGAUAACUUCGGGAAACCGGAGCUAAUACCGGAUAAUAUAUUGAACCGCAUGGUUCAAUAGUGAAAGACGGUUUUGCUGUCACUUAUAGAUGGAUCCGCGCCGCAUUAGCUAGUUGGUAAGGUAACGGCUUACCAAGGCAACGAUGCGUAGCCGACCUGAGAGGGGUAUCCGCCACACUGGAACUUAGACCCGGUCCAGACUCCUACGGGAGGCAGCAGGAGGGAAUCUUCCGCAAUGGGCGAAAGCCUGACGGAGCAACGCCGCGUGAGUGAUGAAGGUCUUCGGAUCGUAAAACUCUGUUAUUAGGGAAGAACAAAUGUGUAAGUAACUAUGCACGUCUUGACGGUACCUAAUCAGAAAGCCACGGCUAACUACGUG
rnacentral:rRNA from 1 species